rnacentral:rRNA from 1 species
CCACGGGACACGUGAAACCCUGUGGGAAGCAGGAGGGACCACCCUCCAAGGCUAAAUACUACCUAGUGACCGAUAGCGUAUAGUACCGUGAGGGAAAGGUGAAAAGAACCCCGGGAGGGGAGUGAAAUAGAACCUGAAACCCUGCACUUACAAGCUGUGGAAGCACAUUUCUUGUGUGACCGCGUACUUUUUGUAGAACGGGCCAACGAGUUACGUUAAGUAGCAAGGUUAAGCACUUAAGGUGCGGAGCCGUAGCGAAAGCGAGUUUUAACUGAGCGUUCAGUUACUUGACGUAGACCCGAAACCGGGCGACCUACCCAUGAGCAGGAUGAAGCGAAAGUAAAAUUUCGUGGAGGUCCGAACCCACGAGCGUUGAAAAGCUCGGGGAUGACUUGUGGGUAGCGGUGAAAUUCCAAUCGAGCCCGGAGAUAGCUGGUUCUCCCCGAAAUAGCUUUAGGGCUAGCCUCAAGGUGAGAGAUACGGAGGUAGAGCACUGAAUGUCCUAGGGGGUAUUGCACCUACCGAAGACUAUCAAACUCCGAAUGCCGUCAUCUUAUACUUGGGAGUCAGACUGUGGGUGAUAAGAUUCAUAGUCGAAAGGGCAACAGCCCAGAUCGUCAGCUAAGGUGCCUUAAUUGAAUUUAGUUGGUGAAGGAUGUGGGGUUGAACAGACAACCAGGAUGUGUGCUUAGAAGCUGCCACUCAUUCAAAGAUUGCGUAAUAGCGCAUUGGUCGAGUUAUCCUGCGACAAAGAUUUCCGGGGCUAAUACUUGCGACCAAAGCUACGCCAUCAGUAAUGAUGGGUAGGGGAGCUUCCCAUACGGGUUGAAGCAUGACCGUAAGGACAUGUGGACAGUAUGGGAGUGAGAAUGUUGGCAUGAGUAGCGAGAUGUGGGUGAGAAUCCCACAGGCCGUAAACCCAAGGUUUCCAGGGGAAGGUUCGUCCGCCCUGGGUUAGUCGGGACCUAAGCUGAGGCCGAAAGGCGUAGGUGAUGGACAACAGGUUGAUAUUCCUGUACUACCGAUAACCGUUUGAGAGAAGGGAUGACACAGUCGGAUAAGCUAAGCACACGGUUGGUUAUGUGUGCCCAAGCAUUGAGGCAGUCAAAGUAGGCAAAUCCGCUUUGAUAAUGCUGGGAUGUGAUGGGGAGCGAAAUUUAGUAGCGAAGUAGCUGAUUUCACACUGUCAAGAAAAGUCUCUAUCGAGGUUAAAGGUACCCGUACCGCAAACCGACACAGGUGGGUGAGGAGAGUAUCCUAAGGCCAGCGAGAGAACUGUUGUUAAGGAACUCGGCAAAAUGACCCCGUAACUUAGGGAUAAGGGGUGCCACCAUCAGGUGGCCGCAGAGAAUAGGCCCAAGCGACUGUUUACCAAAAACAUAGGUUUCUGCUAAGUCGCAAGACGAUGUAUAGGAGCUGACGCCUGCCCGGUGCUGGAAGGUUAAGGGGAUCUGUUAGAGCAAUCGAAGCAGUGAACUUAAGCCCCAGUAAACGGCGGCCGUAACUAUAACGGUCCUAAGGUAGCGAAAUUCCUUGUCGGGUAAGUUCCGACCCGCACGAAAGGCGUAACGAUUUGGGCACUGUCUCAACAACAGACUCGGUGAAAUUGUAAUUCCGGUGAAGAUGCCGGAUACCUGCGACAGGACGGAAAGACCCCAUGGAGCUUUACUGUAGCUUGACAUUGGGUCUUGGUACUACAUGUACAGGAUAGGUGGGAGGCUUUGAAACCAGGACGCCAGUUUUGGCGGAGCCAUCCUUGGGAUACCACCCUUGUAGUACUGGGACUCUAACCAUAGGCCAUGAAUCUGGUCUUGGGACACUGUCAGGUGGGCAGUUUGACUGGGGCGGGCGCCUCCCAAAAGGUAACGGAGGCGCUCAAAGGUUCUCUCAGUACGGUCGGAAAGCGUACGUAGAGUGUAAAGGCAAAAGAGAGCUUGAUUGCAAGACAUACAGGUCGAGCAAGGAUGAAAAUCGGACUUAGUGAUCCGGUGGUUCUGCGUGGAAGGGCCAUCGCUCAACGGAUAAAAGCUACCCUGGGGAUAACAGGCUUAUCUCCCCCAAGAGUCCACAUCGACGGGGAGGUUUGGCACCUCGAUGUCGGCUCAUCACAUCCUGGGGCUGUAGUAGGUCCCAAGGGUUGGGC